CACGGGGGGAGUAAGCGUUGUUCGGAAUCACUGGGCGUAAAGGGCGUGCAGGCGGUCAGGUAAGUGGGAUGUGAAAGCCCUCGGCUCACCCGAGGAUCUGCAUUCCAAACUGCUUGGCUUGAGUAUGGGAGAGGAUGAGGGAAUUCCUGGUGUAGCGGUGAAAUGCGUAGAUAUCAGGAGGAACACCGGUGGCGAAAGCGCUCAUCUGGCCCAAUACUGACGCUGAGGCGCGAAAGCUAGGGGAGCAAACGGG
rnacentral:rRNA from 1 species